rfam:Otolemur garnettii contig046981, whole genome shotgun sequence.
CAAAAGGCUCUCUCUUUCCUCUUUGCAGAGAGCCACCCAAAUUGUAGUAAAAUUAUAU